rnacentral:rRNA from 1 species
GAGUUUGAUCCUGGCUCAGGACUAACGCUGGCGGCGUGCCUAACACAUGCAAGUCGAACGAGUAGCAAUACUAGUGGCAGGCGGGUGAGUAACGCGUAGGUAAUGUGCCUUCUUACUGGGGAUACCGUUCCGAAAGGAGCGUUAAUACCGAAUGUGACGGAGACGGGGCAUCCCGAUUUCGUUAAACUGUUAGGAUGAGAAGAGCAGCCUGCGUUCUAUCAGCUUGUUGGUGGGGUAAUGGCCUACCAAGGCUACGACGGAUAGCCGGUCUGAGAGGAUGAUCGGCCACACUGGGACUGAGACACGGCCCAGACUCCUACGGGAGGCAGCAGUGGGGAAUUUUGGACAAUGGGGGAAACCCUGAUCCAGCCAUUCCGCGUGAGUGAAGAAGGCCU